rnacentral:lncRNA from 1 species
CCGUAGCAAGCCUGACAUAUAACCUGUGAACCUGUGUAAUCCCAUACAUGAUCAACAAUAAGCAUAAAAAUUAAAACUUUCCUUUGCAUACUCAUCAACCAAACUCAACUUGUGCAUAAACAUGAACAUAACUUUGAUCCCCCUGUGGGAUCUCAUCUGUGCCCUCAAAGGGGUAACAUAACCUGUGUUGAGCUGGUUUACAUAAACAUCAUCAAAAAUCUCUAAGAUCAUGUGUAAAAAGG